UAUCUCUUGUUGCAAGAAAUGGUCCAUCU
rnacentral:piRNA from 1 species